rnacentral:rRNA from 1 species
CAGCAGCCGCGGUAAAACGUAGGGUGCAAGCGUUAAUCGGAAUUACUGGGCGUAAAGCGUGCGCAGGCGGUUUGUUAAGACAGAUGUGAAAUCCCCGGGCUCAACCUGGGAACUGCAUUUGUGACUGGCAAGCUAGAGUAUGGCAGAGGGGGGUGGAAUUCCGCGUGUAGCAGUGAGAUGCGUAGAUAUGCGGAGGAACACCGAUGGCGAAGGCAGCCCCCUGGGCCAAUACUGACGCUCAUGCACGAAAGCGUGGGGAGCAAACAGGAUUAGAUACCCCCGUAGUCCCUGUCUCUUAUAC